AUUGAACGCUGGCGGCAGGCCUAACACAUGCAAGUCGAGCGGAUGAGAGGAGCUUGCUUCUCGAUUCAGCGGCGGACGGGUGAGUAAUGCCUAGGAAUCUGCCUGGUAGUGGGGGACAACGUUUCGAAAGGAACGCUAAUACCGCAUACGUCCUACGGGAGAAAGCAGGGGACCUUCGGGCCUUGCGCUAUCAGAUGAGCCUAGGUCGGAUUAGCUAGUUGGUGAGGUAAUGGCUCACCAAGGGGACGAUCCGUAACUGGUCUGAGAGGAUGAUCAGUCACACUGGAACUGAGACACGGUCCAGACUCCUACGGGAGGCAGCAGUGGGGAAUAUUGGACAAUGGGCGAAAGCCUGAUCCAGCCAUGCCGCGUGUGUGAAGAAGGUCUUCGGAUUGUAAAGCACUUUAAGUUGGGAGGAAGGGUUGUAGAUUAAUACUCUGCAAUUUUGACGUUACCGACAGAAUAAGCACCGGCUAACUCUGUGCCAGCAGCCGCCUGUAACAC
rnacentral:rRNA from 1 species